rnacentral:rRNA from 1 species
GACGAACGCUGGCGGCGUGCUUAACACAUGCAAGUCGAACGAAGUGGCGAACGGGUGAGUAAAGCGUAAUCAACCUGCCCUUCAGAGGGGGACAACAGUUGGAAACGACUGCUAAUACCGCAUACUGAAGGAGGGGCUUGCGUCUGUUUGGCUAGUUGGAGGGGUAACGGCCCACCAAGGCGAUGAUCAUUAGCCGGUCUUGUAGGAUGAACGGCCACAAUGGGACUGAGGAUCGGCCCAGACUCCUACGGGAUGCAGCCGUGGGGAAUCUUCCGCAAUGGACGAAAGUCUGACGGAGCAACGCCGCGUGGGUGAUGACGGCCUUCGGGUUGUAAAGCUCUGUUAAUCGGGACGCGGUACCGGAAUAGAAAGCCACGGCUAACUACGUGCCAGCAGCCGCGGUAAUAC